AUUGAACGCUGGCGGCAGGCCUAACACAUGCAAGUCGAACGAGUGGCGGACGGGUGAGUAAUGUCUGGGAAACUGCCCGAUGGGGGGGGGUAACUACUGGAAACAGUAGCUAAUACCGCAUACCAUCUGAUGUGCCCAGAUGGGAUUAGCUAGUAGGUGGGGUAACGGCUCACCUAGGCGACGAUCCCUAGCUGGUCUGAGAGGAUGACCAGCCACACUGGAACUGAGACACGGUCCAGACUCCUACGGGAGGCAGCAGUGGGGAAUAUUGCACAAUGGGCGCAAGCCUGAUGCAGCCAUGCCGCGUGUAUGAAGAAGGCCUUCGGGUUGUAAAGUACUUUCAGCGAGGAGGCGUUACUCGCAGAAGAAGCACCGGCUAACUCCGUGCCAGCAGCCGCGGUAAUAC
rnacentral:rRNA from 1 species